AUUAGAGUUUGAUCCUGGCUCAGGACGAACGCUGGCGGCGUGCCUAACACAUGCAAGUCGAGCGGGAUAUACCGGUUUAGUUUACUAAGCUGGUAAAUUCAGCGGCGGACGGGUGAGUAACGCGUGAGCAAUCUGCCUUGUACAGGGGGAUAACAGCCGGAAACGGCUGCUAAUACCGCAUAAGGCCACAGUACCGCAUGGUACAGGGGUUAAAGGAGAGAUCCGGUAUAAGAUGAGCUCGCGUUCCAUUAGCUGGUUGGUGAGGUAACGGCCCACCAAGGCAACGAUGGGUAGCCGGCCUGAGAGGGUGAACGGCCACAUUGGGACUGAGACACGGCCCAAACUCCUACGGGAGGCAGCAGUGGGGGAUAUUGCGCAAUGGGGGAAACCCUGACGCAGCAACGCCGCGUGAGUGAAGGAGGCCUUCGGGUCGUAAAACUCUGUGACAGGGGAAGAAGAAAGUGACGGUACCCUGAGAGGAAGCCCCGGCUAACUACGUGCCAGCAGCCGCGGUAACACGUAGGGGGCAAGCGUUGUCCGGAAUUACUGGGCGUAAAGGGUGCGUAGGCGGCCGAGCAAGUCCGAUGUGAAAGACCACGGCUAAACUGUGGGGGUGCAUAGGAAACUGUCCGGCUUGAGUAUAGGAGAGGAAAGCGGAAUUCCUAGUGUAGCGGUGAAAUGCGUAGAGAUUAGGAAGAACACCAGUGGCGAAGG
rnacentral:rRNA from 1 species